rfam:Triticum aestivum genome assembly, contig: Triticum_aestivum_CS42_TGACv1_scaffold_578317_7BL
UUUCUACUCCCUCCGUCAAGAAAUACUUGUCGAAAAAAUGCAUAAAAAUGAAUGCAUGUAGAACUAAAAUACAUCUAGAUACAUCCAUUCCUCCGACGAGUAUUUCCGGACGGAGGGAGUACUUG